rnacentral:rRNA from 1 species
AUUGAACGCUGGCGGCAGGCCUAACACAUGCAAGUCGAACGAGUGGCGGACGGGUGAGUAAUGUCUGGGAAACUGCCUGAUGGAGGGGGAUAACGACGGGAAACGGUCGCUAAUACAGCAUACCAUCAGAUGGGCCCAGAUGGGAUUAGCUUGUUGGUGGGGUAACGGCUCACCAAGGCGACGAUCCCUAGCUGGUCUGAGAGGAUGACCUGCCACCCUGAAACUGAGACAAGAUCCAGACUCCUACGGGAGGCAGCAGUAGGGAAUAUUGCACAAUGGGCGCAAGCCUGAUUCAGCCAUGCAGCGUGUAUGAAGAAGGCCUUCGGGUUGGAAAGUACUGUCAGCGGGGAGGAGUUACCCGCAGAAGAAGCACCGGCUAACUCCGUGCCAGCAGCCGCGGUAAUAC